rnacentral:rRNA from 1 species
UACGGAGGGUGCGAGCGUUGUCCGGAAUCACUGGGCGUAAAGGGCGCGUAGGUGGCCUGUGGAAGUCUGCGGUGAAAGCCCGGCGCUCAACGCCGGGUCUGCCGUGGAUACUCUCGGGCUUGAGCUUACUAGAGGCAGAUGGAAUUCCGGGUGUAGCGGUGGAAUGCGUAGAGAUCCGGAAGAACACCGGUGGCGAAGGCGGUCUGCUGGGGUAAUGCUGACACUGAGGCGCGACAGCGUGGGGAGCAAACAGGG